rnacentral:lncRNA from 1 species
CAAUGCACACUUCCUGAGCGCUAAGUGUCCAUCUCAGCCAAAUGUACUGAAGCCCUCAGAACAUCCAAGGAAGGAUGGUUCUCUUCCUAUGUUCAUGGCUGACACUGACAAUUAAAUAUUUCACUGUUUCCCAGAGGCUGGGACCUCAUUUCAGAAUUCUUCUCAAUGUCAGCUUUCCUAUUUCUCUGGCCAUUGACACAUGCUAUUUCAGAACACACCAACCUAAAUCCAUAAAGUCCAAUCAUUUCAAGAGACAAAGCUGAAUAUUUCCAUAUCUAAGUGAUAAUGUCAAAACCAACAUGGAACAUUGCCACAUAAAUGAUCUUUAGAGGGGAUUUCUACACUAUUCACCUUUGGGCUAAAUGUCUGUGAGUUA